GACGAACGCUGGCGGCGUGCUUAACACAUGCAAGUCGAACGGAAAGGCCCUGCUUUUGUGGGGUGCUCGAGUGGCGAACGGGUGAGUAACACGUGAGAACCUGCCCUUGACUUUGGGAUAACUUCAGGAAACUGGGGCUAAUACCGGAUAGGAGCUCCUGCUGCAUGGUGGGGGUUGGAAAGUUUCGGCGGUUGGGGAUGGACUCGCGGCUUAUCAGCUUGUUGGUGGGGUAGUGGCUUACCAAGGCUUUGACGGGUAGCCGGCCUGAGAGGGUGACCGGCCACAUUGGGACUGAGAUACGGCCCAGACUCCUACGGGAGGCAGCAGUGGGGAAUAUUGCACAAUGGGCGGAAGCUUGAUGCAGCAACGCCGCGUGCGGGAUGACGGCCUUCGGGUUGUAAACCGCUUUCGCCUGUGACGAAGCGUGAGUGACGGUAAUGGGUAAAGAAGCACCGGCUAACUACGUG
rnacentral:rRNA from 1 species